GCCCGGUUAGCUCAGCCGGUAGAGCGUUGGACUUUUAAUCCAACGGUCAAAGGUUUCAAGUCCCUUAUCGGGCU
rnacentral:tRNA from 1 species